rnacentral:rRNA from 1 species
GAGUUUGAUCCUGGCUCAGGAUGAACGCUGACAGAAUGCUUAACACAUGCAAGUCAACUUGAAUUUGGGUUUUUAACUUAGAUUUGGGUGGCGGACGGGUGAGUAACGCGUAAAGAACUUGCCUCACAGCUAGGGACAACAUUUAGAAAUGAAUGCUAAUACCUGAUAUUAUGAUUUUAAGGCAUCUUAGAAUUAUGAAAGCUAUAAGCACUGUGAGAGAGCUUUGCGUCCCAUUAGCUAGUUGGAGAGGUAACAGCUCACCAAGGCGAUGAUGGGUAGCCGGCCUGAGAGGGUGAACGGCCACAAGGGGACUGAGACACGGCCCUUACUCCUACGGGAGGCAGCAGUGGGGAAUAUUGGACAAUGGACCGAGAGUCUGAUCCAGCAAUUCUGUGUGCACGAUGAAGUUUUUCGGAAUGUAAAGUGCUUUCAGUUGGGAAGAAAUAAAUGA